rnacentral:tRNA from 2 species
GGGGCUGUAGUGUAACUUGGAGAAUGCGCCGGCGCGGCCAUUCGGGGAACUAUCACUCCACCUUCGGGAGGUGGCAAUGGGGGUUCGAAUCCUCCCAGCCCCA